UACGUAGGGGGCAAGCGUUGUCCGGAUUUAUUGGGCGUAAAGAGCGUGUAGGCGGUCCGGUAAGUCCGCUGUGAAAGUCGAGGGCUCAACCCUCGAAUGCCGGUGGAUACUGUCGGGCUAGAGUACGGAAGAGGCGAGUGGAAUUCCUGGUGUAGCGGUGAAAUGCGCAGAUAUCGUAAGGAAGACCAGUGGCGAAGGCGGGUCUCUGGACAGUUCCUGACGCUGAGGCACGAAGGCCAGGGGAGCAAACGGG
rnacentral:rRNA from 1 species